CUCUUAUCCAGAGCAGGCGGAGGGACUGGCCCUAUGAAGCCCGGCAACCGACUUGAGCGGUGCUAACCAGCAGAACGGAUAUCUGUUCUGGCCGAUAAGAG
rfam:Bacillus sp. WF146 contig185, whole genome shotgun sequence.